rnacentral:lncRNA from 1 species
CUAUGUAAGUGGAUCCCUUCCUAACAUAUAUAAUAGAGAUAUAACAUUUUAGAUACAUAUUGUAAUAGCCCAAAUUUGUCUGGGCCUUAAAACCAAAAAUGAUAAAUUGAUAAAUAAAAGUCCAUUUAUACAGUACAUUUAUAGGCCCAAAUACAUUUUAUUGACCCAAGACCCUAAACCCGGUUACACCCAACGGGUUUAAACCAAAAUACUAAAACUACCCAUUAACCCGUUUACAUCCAACCCACAAGCAGAUACGGCCCAAAUGGCCCAAUGUGUUAACAGAUGAGGGAACCCUAGGCGCCGUAAACUGAAAGUUCCAGAAGACAAGCCAAGCGUCACGACCCUUCGGUUUCCGUCGUUCUAGCUACCCUCCAUCAAGGCCACAAUUCCAGGCUCCAAGUCACGCCAUGAUCAACGCCACCGUUAGACCAUCGUCAGGCCUUCGUCAUAGCCAGAUUUCUCGCGAGCACCUGCAAAGAAAGGAAAGGAACCACAGCAAAAAGGGAAACAAACAGGGAAAGAAAUCAAAGAUUUCUUUCCCCAAAACACAAUAAUCUGUAAAAGGGCUAUAAAAACCCUUUUAUAAUCUGUAAAUGUUACGGUUUUUUUUUUGGGGGGGAGCACAUAUACAUAAUAAAGACAGCAGUAUUAUCAAAGAACAAAGGUGAUUCAUUUUUUAAUUUCAUUUUAUGAAUAUAUGCAUAUGAAGGUUAAGACAAAUACAAAGAAGAAUACCUUUUGUUUCAUUGAAAAAGGAUUGCAAUCGCCGUACGCGACGGCUUCAAAGGUGGUGCGUAGGCACGUGGGAACCCGAUGACGGAGGCACGAUGGCACUCCGAGGGUCCGCCCACAUCCUCCUUUCAGAGGAUUUUUCUUUUUUUU